UACGUAGGGUGCAAGCGUUGUCCGGAAUUAUUGGGCGUAAAGAGCUCGUAGGCGGCCUGUCGCGUCGGCUGUGAAAACCCGGGGCUCAACCCCGGGCCUGCAGUCGAUACGGGCAGGCUAGAGUCCGGGAGGGGAGACUGGAAUUCCUGGUGUAGCGGUGAAAUGCGCAGAUAUCAGGAGGAACACCGGUGGCGAAGGCGAGUCUCUGGGCCGGAACUGACGCUGAGGAGCGAAAGCGUGGGGAGCGAACAGG
rnacentral:rRNA from 1 species